AUGAGUGCCCACAGUGAUAAAAUGUUCAUUGAGGGCAUUACUAAUGGCGGAUUUCCAACUGCCAAGGAAGAGGAUAUCUCAGAAACUGGUUUAAAGACAAUGUUUUAUGCUCGGCAAGGUCAAAAGAAAAACCGUUUUUACAAAUAUGUAUGGGAAAACUGUCAACUCACAAACCCAGCUAAGAAAAAGAAUGUGCAUUUACAGAAGUCAGAGAAGAACAACAGAUUUUAAGUGAGCUCCUCAGAGAUCUCCUGACCACAAGACAGCUUUCCACUGGUUUUCCUUUCUGUUAUUCAAGAUCUCUUCCCCCAGUUCUUUGAUUCUGCCUAUUACAAGCAUCUAUAACUGUUCUUCAAUGUUAAGUUUUUGCUCUCCUAUUUUGAGGAGUUUAUUACAAGUUUCCUUUCCUG
rnacentral:lncRNA from 1 species